rnacentral:misc_RNA from 1 species
UUUUAUUCUUUUUUUCCUUUUUGGAACAUAUGAUCUUUCAAUUAAAGUCAUUGCAUUCUCAUUUGAAAAUUAGAGAAAUUUAUGAUUAAACUAUCCAAUAUAUUAUGACUCUACAAUCUCCUACUUUUAGGAGGAAGCAAGCAAUUAUGGUUGUAGAUAGGUCACUUAUUGGAAUCACUAUUAAAAUUUCUAGCUUGAAUUGAAUUUCAUAUUGAGUGCUUAUUGGUGGUGAAUUUUUAGUCUCUUUUUAUUGGGUUGAUCAUAGAGUUGGUUAAAUUUCUUGCUUAUGUUAGUCAUAAUUGGAGUUUUG